CACAAAUCUGGCACUCUCAGGAGCCGCUCGUUCCUCUGGAGAAAUGCAACCUGGGCUUCUUCAACGCUGUGAGGCGCUGAGCUUAAUUUCAGUCACUGGCUGUUUGCGUUGUCCUUCUGCAUCCUGGGUAAUACACUUAAUGUUCUCCAUCUUUGCCGAGACUGAGAGGAUGAGGCUGCGGGAGAAUUCCAGAAAGGGACCCAUUUUAAACUUCCAGCUGAUGCUUCUCAACAGAACAGUGAAGUUGCAUCUUCCGAGAUGUGCCCAGCCCAUGAUUAUCUGUAAGAGUAAAGACUGAUAUGGAUGUCACUGGUGAACCCUGGAACAGAGGCAGAUGUCAGGGAGACAUCAAAGUCAACCAAAUUCAGUAGAGGUGACAGUAAUGGUG